AGCACUGAAAACUGAUGAAUGUCUUCUUCCAGCCUACACUGGCCAAAGUGAAGUCUGAGAGAUGUGAAGAAAGGCAAUACAUUUGUAUCUUGGCACACUAUCCCACAAAGGUGUCUUCCAGGAUCAUCCAUGUUGUUGUUGCGAAUGACAAGACUUUUUAAAGGCUGAAUAGUACUCCACUGGAGACAGAGUCUCACUCUAUGGCCCUCGGUAGAGUGCCGUGGCCUCACAUAGCUCACAGCAACCUCCAACUCCUGGGCUUAAGCGAUUCUCUUGCCUCAGCCUCCCAAGUAGCUGGGACUACAGGCGCCCGCCACAACACCCGGCUAUUUUUUUGGUUGCAGUUUGGCCGGGGCCGGGUUUGAACCCGCCACCCUCGGUAUAUGGGGCCGGCGCCUUACCGACUGAGCCACAGACACCGCCCGACAUUAUUCUUUUUCUUGCCUGGUGUAAAAUCUGACCUGAAAUAAGCUAGCAGAAUGUAAAAAGGUAGCUGUUCAAAGGGGGAACUUUUCUGCAAGUUCAG